rnacentral:rRNA from 1 species
UAUACAUGCAGUUGAGCGCUGAGGUUGGUACUUGUACCGACUGGAUGAGCAGCGAACGGGUGAGUAACGCGUGGGGAAUCUGCCUUUGAGCGGGGGACAACAUUUGGAAACGAAUGCUAAUACCGCAUAAAAACUUUAAACACAAGUUUUAAGUUUGAAAGAUGCAAUUGCAUCACUCAAAGAUGAUCCCGCGUUGUAUUAGCUAGUUGGUGAGGUAAAGGCUCACCAAGGCGAUGAUACAUAGCCGACCUGAGAGGGUGAUCGGCCACAUUGGGACUGAGACACGGCCCAAACUCCUACGGGAGGCAGCAGUAGGGAAUCUUCGGCAAUGGACGAAAGUCUGACCGAGCAACGCCGCGUGAGUGAAGAAGGUUUUCGGAUCGUAAAACUCUGUUGGUAGAGAAGAACGUUGGUGAGAGUGGAAAGCUCAUCAAGUGACGGUAACUACCCAGAAGGGGACGGCUAACUACGUGCCAGCAGCC